rnacentral:ncRNA from 1 species
UUGAUUCGGGAGAGUCCGCUCAGCGGCGCCGAAGGAGAAUGCAGAAGCUCUCAGGCAAAAGGACCGGAUCG